GAUGAAGAACGCAGCGAAACGCGAUAAGUAAUGUGAAUUGCAGAAUCCAGUGAAUCAUCGAAUCUUUGAACGCACAUUGCGCCCGCCAGCAUUCUGGCGGGCAUGCCUGUUCGAGCGUCAUUUCAACCCUCGGCCUCCCCUUGGGGAGGUCGGCGUUGGGGACCGGCAGCACACCGCCGGCCCUGAAAUGGAGUGGCGGCCCGUCCGCGGCGACCUCUGCGCAGUAAUACAGCUCGCACCGGGACCCCGACGCGGCCACGCCGUAAAACACCCAACUUCUGAACGUUGACCUCGAAUCAGGUAGGACUACCCGCUGAACUUAAGCAUAUCAAUAAGCGGAGGA
rnacentral:misc_RNA from 1 species